AUUGCAACAACUUGGGGAGACCUUCAUCCAUUCGUGGACUGAUUUUGGCUGAUGAUGAUUCCAUGUGCUCGAGGCAAAGGGUUUAAUACAUUUAAAAUCAAACAGGUGCCACUCAAGGAGAGCGACCUCCCCCAGGUGUCAGGCUCAGACAGUGGGCCUCUUCACUACCUGGGAAAUAUUCACCACCUGAAGCCGGGAGCCGUGCCCAAACAACCGGACUAUUUCACGGCACCCUACCGGCGUUCGCAGCAGGACAUCUAUCCUAUAAAGGAUCAUGACGUCCUCAUCCCACCGGCCGUACGCAGCCAAAUCGUCCACUACAUGCUGCAAAACCCCAUGCCACAAGACAGCACGAACAUAUUAAAUAUCAACCAAAUGAUUGAAAAUGGCUGCUAUACUGCAGCCUAUCCACUGCAUGACGUAAGUUGUUGGGGGGGUAGGGGGUGGAGGGCACACUGACACCCUACGGGAGGCCCAUGUACGACACCUGAAUUGCACACCUGUAUAGGACGCUAUAGCAUAGUCUAAAGCUUACCACAUACUUAACAUUAGUGUCCCACAGAGAUGCGCCGCAUAGGUGUCCAGGUUCCCCAGCUCACUAAACACACCUCUGAUUUGCAUGGUUGGCUACAUACGGUGCAAAAGAAGUUCAAUAUCCAUGCAUUGGAAAGGACUCCACGAGCACUCUAGAGAGCCAUUCUCAAGGGUAUUUGGUCGACUAUUUCACGUGGGACAGAAGUCUUUGGAAGAAUUAGAAGUACCCACACUUCAUCCCACAACACGUGAACAACCAAUAGAUUAACUGUGGGUGCACCCAUUUACACUGCUUGCUGGGAAGAAGCAGCGUGAUUAAGAAACGUGGUCAUUGUUUUAACUGUCGUUCCCAUGAAAUCAAAUGGGCGACCUCUAACUUUGCAAGUCCAGUGCAGUGUGCAACACCAUUACACCACAGCAGCGCCACGGCAGAGUUUUGGGGGGGUGGAGCUGGUAAUUUGUGAAUGUCCAUGCAGUGUUUGUGACUAACAAUUGCUUUCCCCAUGUCAGAGUGAGUCUGUUCAUCCCACCAAAAACC